AUUGAACGCUGGCGGCAUGCUUUACACAUGCAAGUCGAACGGCAGCGCGGGGCAACCUGGCGGCGAGCGGCGAACGGGUGAGUAAUACAUCGGAACGUACCCAGAAGUGGGGGAUAACGUAGCGAAAGUUACGCUAAUACCACAUACGUUCUACGGAAGAAAGUGGGGGACCUUCGGGCCUCAUGCUUUUGGAGCGGCCGAUGUCUGAUUAGCUAGUUGGUAGGGUAAAGGCCUACCAAGGCGACGAUCAGUAGCUGGUCUGAGAGGACGACCAGCCACACUGGGACUGAGACACGGCCCAGACUCCUACGGGAGGCAGCAGUGGGGAAUUUUGGACAAUGGGCGCAAGCCUGAUCCAGCAAUGCCGCGUGAGUGAAGAAGGCCUUCGGGUUGUAAAGCUCUUUUGUCAGGGAAGAAACGGUCGGGGUUAAUACCUCUGGCUAAUGACGGUACCUGAAGAAUAAGCACCGGCUAACUACGUGCCAGCCGCCGCAGUAAGAC
rnacentral:rRNA from 1 species